rnacentral:rRNA from 1 species
GUCGAGAAUCUUCCGCAAUGGGCGAAAGCCUGACGGAGCGACACCGCGUGCAGGAUGAAGGCCUUCGGGUCGUAAACUGCUGUCACGCUAUAGGAAUGGCGCGUCGUUAAUAGCGGCGCGUUUGACCAAAGCGAGAGGAAGCACCGGCUAACUCCGUGCCAGCAGCCGCGGUAAGACGGAGGGUGCGAACGUUGUUCGGAAUUACUGGGCAUAAAGAGCACGUAGGCGGCCAGGUCAGUCCGGUGUGAAAGCCCUCGGCUCAACCGGGGAACUGCAUCGGAUACUGCCUGGCUCGAGGACGGUUGGGGUGAGUGGAACUCCUGGUGGAGCGGUGAAAUGCGUAGAUAUCAGGAGGAACACCGGUGGCGAAAGCGGCUCACUGGACCGUCUCUGACGCUGAGGUGCGAAAGCUAGGGUAGCGAACGGG